AUUGAACGCUGGCGGCAGGCCUAACACAUGCAAGUCGAGCGGAUGAAGGGAGCUUGCUCCUGGAUUCAGCGGCGGACGGGUGAGUAAUGCCUAGGAAUCUGCCUGGUAGUGGGGGAUAACGUCCGGAAACGGGCGCUAAUACCGCAUACGUCCUGAGGGAGAAAGUGGGGGAUCUUCGGACCUCACGCUAUCAGAUGAGCCUAGGUCGGAUUAGCUAGUUGGUGGGGUAAAGGCCUACCAAGGCGACGAUCCGUAACUGGUCUGAGAGGAUGAUCAGUCACACUGGAACGGAGACACGGUCCAGACUCCUACGGGAGGCAGCAGUGGGGAAUAUUGGACAAUGGGCGAAAGCCUGAUACAGCCAGGCCGCGUGUGUGAAGAAGGUCUUCGGAUUGUAAAGCACUUUAAGUUGGGAGGAAGGGCAGUAAGUUAAGACCUUGCUGUUUUGACGGUACCAACAGAAUAAGCACCGGCUAACUUCGUG
rnacentral:rRNA from 1 species